GCGGAGCGGCGCCGGAGGAGGAAGUGGUGAGGUUGUUGCUCACUCAGCGCCUACCGCUGGCUGUUGGGGCUCAGAGAGGGGCCGCAGUCUCUGCGGCUGCGUCGCGCUCCCCUGCAGUCCCCUCCAUGUUCCCCGGCGCCACCACUCCCCUUCCUAAGGCCGCCGCUUACCCCGGGGUCUAUGGAAGUAAUGGAAGGACCCCUCAACCUGGCUCAUCAACAGAGCAGACGAGCAGACCGUUUAUUAGCUGCAGGCAAAUACGAAGAGGCUAUUUCUUGUCACAAAAAGGCUGCAGCAUAUCUUUCUGAAGCCAUGAAGCUGACACAGUCUGAGCAGGCUCAUCUUUCACUGGAAUUGCAAAGGGAUAGCCAUAUGAAACAGCUUCUCCUCAUCCAAGAGAGAUGGAAAAGGGCCCAGCGGGAAGAAAGAUUGAAAGCCCAGCAGAACACAGAUAAGGAUGUAGCUGCCCAUCUUCAGGCAUCUCACAAACCCUCUGCAGAGGAUGCAGAGGGCCAGAGCCCCCUUUCUCAGAAGUACAGCCCUUCUACAGAGAAGUGCCUGCCAGAGAUUCAGGGGAUCUUUGACAGGGAUCCAGACACACUACUAUAUUUACUUCAGCAAAAGAGUGAGCCAGCGGAGCCAUGUAUUGGAAGCAAAGCCCCAAAAGAUGAUAAAACAAUUAUAGAGGAGCAGGCAACCAAAAUUGCAGAUUUGAAGAGGCACGUGGAGUUCCUUGUGGCUGAGAAUGAAAGAUUAAGGAAAGAAAAUAAACAACUAAAGGCUGAAAAGGCCAGACUUCUAAAAGGUCCAGUAGAAAAGGAGCUGGAUGUAGAUGCUGAUUUUGUAGAAACAUCAGAGUUAUGGAGCUUGCCACCACAUUCAGAAACUGCUACAGCCUCCUCAACCUGGCAGAAGUUCGCAGCAAAUACUGGGAAAGCCAAGGACAUUCCAGUCCCCAAUCUUCCUCCCUUGGAUUUUCCAUCUCCAGAACUUCCCCUUAUGGAGCUCUCUGAGGAUAUUCUGAAAGGAUUUAUGAGUAAUUAAAAUGGAAGGCCACAGAAAAGGGGAAAAGAGGAAAUAAUACAGUCAUCACUAAUCCAGCAAAAAAAAAAAAAAAAAAAAAAAA